rnacentral:rRNA from 1 species
AUACGGAGGGGGUUAGCGUUGUUCGGAAUUACUGGGCGUAAAGCGCACGUAGGCGGACUGGAAAGUUGGGGGUGAAAUCCCGGGGCUCAACCCCGGAACUGCCUCCAAAACUUCCAAUCUAGAGAUCGAGAGAGGUGAGUGGAAUUCCAAGUGUAGAGGUGAAAUUCGUAGAUAUUUAGAGGAACACCAGUGGCGAAGGCGGCUCACUGGCUCGAUACUGACGCUGAGGUGCGAAAGCGUGGGGAGCAAACAGGAUUAGAUACCCUAGUAGUCC